UUAGUGGCGGACGGGUGAAUAACGCGUGGAUAACCUGCCGUAUACAGGGGGAUAACACUUAGAAAUAGGUGCUAAUACCGCAUAAGCGCACGGUUCCGCAUGGAACAGUGUGAAAAACUCCGGUGGUAUACGAUGGAUCCGCGUCUGAUUAGCCAGUUGGCGGGGUAACGGCCCACCAAAGCGACGAUCAGUAGCCGGCCUGAGAGGGUGAACGGCCACAUUGGGACUGAGACACGGCCCAAACUCCUACGGAAGGCAGCAG
rnacentral:rRNA from 1 species